rnacentral:rRNA from 1 species
ACUGCCUGAUGGAGGGGGAUAACUACUGGAAACGGUAGCUAAUACCGCAUAACGUCGCAAGACCAAAGAGGGGGACCUUCGGGCCUCUUGCCAUCGGAUGUGCCCAGAUGGGAUUAGCUAGUAGGUGGGGUAACGGCUCACCUAGGCGACGAUCCCUAGCUGGUCUGAGAGGAUGACCAGCCACACUGGAACUGAGACACGGUCCAGACUCCUACGGGAG